UGGGGAAUCUUCCGCAAUGGACGAAAGUCUGACGGAGCAACGCCGCGUGAGUGAUGAAGGCCUUCGGGUUGUAAAACUCUGUUGUCAGGGACGAAAGCACCGAUCUAUAAUACAUUUUGGUGUUGACGGUACCUGACGAGGAAGCCACGGCUAACUACGUGCCAGCAGCCGCGGUAAUACGUAGGUGGCAAGCGUUGUCCGGAAUUAUUGGGCGUAAAGAGCAUGUAGGCGGGCUUUUAAGUCCGACGUGAAAAUGCGGGGCUUAACCCCGUAUGGCGUUGGAUACUGGAAGUCUUGAGUGCAGGAGAGGAAAGGGGAAUUCCCAGUGUAGCGGUGAAAUGCGUAGAUAUUGGGAGGAACACCAGUGGCGAAGGCGCCUUUCUGGACUGUGUCUGACGCUGAGAUGCGAAAGCCAGGGUAGCAAACGGG
rnacentral:rRNA from 1 species